CCUCACUCCGCCCCUUCCCAAGUCUCUGGGCUCGUCAAAGCUUCCCGAGAGCCAUGGUUGGUCCAGGCAGGCAAUCGGAGCACCUCAUGGAGCGGCUGCUAACCCAGGGUGGGGUGGGGUGGGGUGGAGGGGUCUGUUUGUAGUACUCUCAGUCCUGAUGUCACAGGCGCGGCAAGGACAUCGCAAGGAGGAGUCGGAUUACAGUAAGGAUGGGCAGUGCAGCAGGCAGCCCGAGCGCACUCUCCAGCCGCCGGGGAUCUUAGCCCUGGAAAGGCAGCCUGCAAGGCGCUCAUCCCGCGGAGGAGGCACGCUCUCGGCGCUCACUGCUCUCCACGCCGGGGACAUUUCCACCGAAUGUAGCAUGAAACGGCUCUGCUCUACGUGCCAGCCUUGGGUGAGAGCUGAUGCUGAAGACACCGCGGUGGGAUUCCAGCUGUCUGAUUAAUGAGAAACAUAAUGUAUUUUGGUGGUACAUGCCAGAGUCCUGCUCUCCCGGCCCUUGUCCGUCCACCAGCCCCUCCUUUGCAACCAUCGCUGGAUAUUAAACCAUUUCUUCCCUUUCCUCUUGACACUGCAGCUGCAGUCAACCUCUUCCCCAAUUUCAAUGCG
rnacentral:lncRNA from 1 species